rnacentral:rRNA from 1 species
UACGUAGGGCGCAAGCGUUAUCCGGAAUUAUUGGGCGUAAAGAGCUCGUAGGCGGUUUGUCACGUCUGCUGUGAAAUCCCGAGGCUCAACCUCGGGCCUGCAGUGGGUACGGGCAGACUGGAGUGCGGUAGGGGAGAAUGGAAUUCCUGGUGUAGCGGUGGAAUGCGCAGAUAUCAGGAGGAACACCGAUGGCGAAGGCAGUUCUCUGGGCCGUAACUGACGCUGAGGAGCGAAAGCGUGGGGAGCGAACAGG